UGGGGAAUAUUGCACAAUGGGCGCAAGCCUGAUGCAGCCAUGCCGCGUGUAUGAAGAAGGCCUUCGGGUUGUAAAGUACUUUCAGCGGGGAGGAAGGCGAUAAGGUUAAUAACCUUGUCGAUUGACGUUACCCGCAGAAGAAGCACCGGCUAACUCCGUGCCAGCAGCCGCGGUAAUACGGAGGGUGCAAGCGUUAAUCGGAAUUACUGGGCGUAAAGCGCACGCAGGCGGUCUGUCAAGUCGGAUGUGAAAUCCCCGGGCUCAACCUGGGAACUGCAUUCGAAACUGGCAGGCUAGAGUCUUGUAGAGGGGGGUAGAAUUCCAGGUGUAGCGGUGUAAUGCGUAGAGAUCUGGAGGAAUACCGGUGGCGAAGGCGGCCCCCUGGACAAAGACUGACGCUCAGGUGCGAAAGCGUGGGGAGCAAACA
rnacentral:rRNA from 1 species